rnacentral:rRNA from 1 species
GAUCAUGGCUCAGAUUGAACGCUGGCGGCAGGCCUAACACAUGCAAGUCGAACGGUAACAGGGAUCAGCUUGCUGAUUCGCUGACGAGUGGCGGACGGGUGAGUAAUGUCUGGGAAACUGCCUGAUGGAGGGGGAUAACUACUGGAAACGGUAGCUAAUACCGCAUAACGUCGCAAGACCAAAGAGGGGGGACCUUCGGGCCUCUUGCCAUCGGAUGUGCCCAGAUGGGAUUAGCUAG